rnacentral:rRNA from 1 species
CGCGUAGGCUGUUUGGUAAGUCAGAUGUGAAAGCCCGGGGCUUAACUCCGGAAGAGCAUUUGAAACUGCCAAACUUGAGUAUGGGAGAGGGAAGUGGAAUUCCUGGUGUAGAGGUGAAAUUCGUAGAUAUCAGGAGGAACACCAGUGGCGAAGGCGACUUCCUGGACCAAUACUGACGCUGAGGCGCGAAGGCGUGGGGAGCAAACA